UGGGGAAUAUUGGACAAUGGGCGAAAGCCUGAUCCAGCAAUGCCGCGUGAGUGAUGAAGGCCUUAGGGUUGUAAAACUCUUUCAGUAGGGAAGAUAAUGACGGUACCUACAGAAGAAGCACCGGCUAACUCCGUGCCAGCAGCCGCGGUAAUACGGAGGGUGCUAGCGUUGUUCGGAAUUACUGGGCGUAAAGCGCGCGUAGGCGGUUCAGUAAGUUGGAAGUGAAAUCCCAGGGCUUAACCCUGGAAUUGCUUUCAAAACUGCUGAACUAGAGAAUGGUAGGGGAAAGUGGAAUUCCUAGUGUAGAGGUGAAAUUCGUAGAUAUUAGGAGGAACACCAGAGGCGAAGGCGGCUUUCUGGGCCAUUUCUGACGCUAAGGCGCGAAAGCGUGGGGAGCAAACAGG
rnacentral:rRNA from 1 species